rnacentral:rRNA from 1 species
GACGAACGCUGGCGGCGUGCCUAAUACAUGCAAGUAGAACGCUGAAGGAGGAGCUUGCUUCUCUGGAUGAGUUGCGAACGGGUGAGUAACGCGUAGGUAACCUGCCUGGUAGCGGGGGAUAACUAUUGGAAACGAUAGCUAAUACCGCAUAGGAGUAGAUGUUGCAUGACAUUUGCUUAAAAGGUGCAAUUGCAUCACUACCAGAUGGACCUGCGUUGUAUUAGCUAGUUGGUGAGGUAACGGCUCACCAAGGCGACGAUACAUAGCCGACCUGAGAGGGUGAUCGGCCACACUGGGACUGAGACACGGCCCAGACUCCUACGGGAGGCAGCAGUAGGGAAUCUUCGGCAAUGGACGGAAGUCUGACCGAGCAACGCCGCGUGAGUGAAGAAGGUUUUCGGAUCGUAAAGCUCUGUUGUAAGAGAAGAACGAGUGUGAGAGUGGAAAGUUCACACUGUGACGGUAUCUUACCAGAAAGGGACGGCUAACUACGUG